UCGGGUCCUUAACAUACAAUGGUGCUAGCUCAGACCUAGGAAUCACCAGUCUUUAUCUUGUUCCCUGUCUCAAGUCCCCCCUUUUCUUGAGCCUAAGCAAAUUCUUUGGCUUAUUACAAUCCUUCUUGAUUAAAAGUUUUCAUUAAAUUCUUACCAGUUUUGACUUGGUGCUUGUUUCAGUUACACUUCCAGGUAUCAUAAUCUAGUCCUUCAUACAGCACCAAAAUGCACAUUGUACCACUACACAAGUCAAGACUACUACUAUUAAAAAGAAGAUCAGUAUUCCUCUAAAUGAUUGCUUAAGCCAAGAAAAGUUGGGUAACCAAAAGGUUAUUUUGUUGCAUAAUUCUCGAAAACCCCAGGAGGUGUCAUCUUGAAUUACCUUAUGUAAUCACCUUAGACUAAUCACCUUAUUACCGUAGUCUUUCCCCAAAUGUUUUCGUGCUCAGUCUCAAUUCCUCCUGCCUCAUUUACACACAUACAGCAACUAAUAUUGAUUAAAGUGCAUCCUUCCCCUUGGGAGGCAAAUAAAAGGUCUAGUGCCUAAAACAUUCUUCUUGAUUUGUUCUACUUGCUUGCACAAAACUGUAAGAUGUUGUUGCAAAUACUGGUUUCCUAAAUGUGUUAGAUCUUCUCCUUUGUCCGGCCUUUGGUAAGGCCUGCCAUCCAAUAUCUCCAAAGGGGCUUAGUUUGACCAAGUUUGCUCCUGGGGGAUGGAUGGAGCCCGUGGUAGGGAGCCAUGUGGGAGCAGUGCUUGAGGAGCUGCUGCCUUUGGCAGCCCCUGCAGGCUCACUUUGGGAAUCCCGUGUGAGGGAUGAAGUUCUGUGUUUUUUGUUUUUUGUUUUGUUUUGUUUUGUUUUUCUGAAGAAAGCGGGUGUUUAAGAAGGAAAUGCAGAGUUGCCUUUGUUUGUCACUCGAUGGUCUUGAGGUCUCUUCCAACGUAGACAUUCUGUGAUUCUGUGAAGUCACAAACGCCAAGGCGUCACACUGGCUGGCUCUGCAGCACAGAUGCCAGGAGUGCCGCUUGGCAUGGCGGCGGCGGCGCGGUGCCCCAGCCCCAGGCCCGUCCCAGCCCCAGCGCACGUCACCCUCCGCUCCCCCAUGGAGCCCCCCGCCGCCUCAGCAGCCCCGUGGCGGACGCCCCAUGGCGGAGCCGCCCCCGAGGAGAAGGAGCCUGCAGCCCUCUGCCCGCACCGCACCGCACCAAGCGCCGCGCAACGGCUGCCACCACCGUGGGGGCUCCUGGUGUGAGCGGCAAGCGGUGGCAAGGGGGGGCUGCGCUUCCUGAGUCGAGCUGCUGGACACCGGCUUGCCUGGGCAAUUGCCCAUGUUGCUGAGGAGGCAACAGAGCCAAAGCCCUUGGGGCUGAAGAUCCAGCACGGCUGGGGAGGCUUUGGCAUUUCUGCACAAUGCUGCUCAGUCCUGCUUGGGAGCCCAGCCUCAGGUGCGGAAUGAAGCCAAGCAAGCUCGAGGGAAACUGUGUGCUGGUAAGUUGUCAGUUCUUGCUUUCUUUUUCAUUCCUCACGCCUAAGAAAACCUAACUCUUUCAAGCACUUGUUUGAUGGACUUGAUUCUGGGUGUGCUCCUUAAGCUUGUUUGGCAGCUGUUGAACCCCGCUACACUUGCAGGAGACCUAUGCUGGAGUUGAUGCUUGCUGUGAUCAAGCGGUGUUCUUUUGCUCUUCUUUGCUUUGGUGAUGGCGGGUGAGGUUGCAAAGAGUUUUCAGGAGGAUUCUUCUUUUCCUUUGCAGAAUGCCAGACUGCGUAUUAGAGCUGAUCUUCAUCUCUGCUCGGAAAAGCUUCACGGGCCAAAAGAGAAUGGAGAUGAGGAAGGCAAUGGAGAAUGAUGAGGACUAUUUGCAGUCAGCACGCCAACUUCUGCCUUGGCUCUUCCCAUCAAGCCAGAGCAGUUUCUUGGCCUGCGCAACCUGCAGACUGACCUCUCGUGUGUAUCCGUGCUGGACUGAGGGUUUUAGGUGAACAAGAACCCUGAAACCAGCUGAAGCCAUAUCAGACAUGAAGCCAUAUCAGACAUAGUAAGGACAUGUGUCUGUGAGGAAGUAAUUCAGAGUGAUUCUCUGGUGUCCUUUGGACAGCUUUCCUCUGGUCCUCUGCACUAAGCAUCCCCAAGGGAUAUUUCAAAGCUCUCGGAAUGAUCUGUCAUUCUCUCUUCCACUGGAGUCUCCAUUAGAAAAGCGUGACUAUUCCUUGCCCAUGUGGAAAAGAAGUCCUCCUUGAGUUGUUUCUAAGCAAAACCUCUUUCUUGUGUUCUCUGGACAGAAACCACUUGGCUAGACAAACUCAAUCGUUGCAAAUGGAAGGAGUGGAACUGCUUCAGCACCGUGCUUCGUCUUCUAAGCAGAACUGUAAUGUAGGUGGGGACGUAGCAAGAGGACAUGGCCAAGCCAGGAAGUGAUGCUUCUCCCUGUUCUCCAUUGCAAUUUGUGAAAGAAAGGAGAAGAGAGGAGAAGAAAAAAGGAGAAGA